CAGGCUUCCCCACUCAGCAGGGACGCAGGAGCUGGACGUGCGUAACACCCACAGCGUGGUCACUAGCUCACUGGGUCAACUGGGGUCAGGAAGAGAGAAUAUCCACCAACACUUCACUGAGGUGUUAUGGCGUGCUUCUAAACCAGCCUUGAUCUAACAACAAUGGAGACAAAGGAGAAGAAUGCCACAUUCAUGAUAAUCAACAUCGCCAGAAGCAUGCAACAUCCUUAAACAUUUUUAAAAGGUUGUGUGUGUGAAAGAUGGGGACCGCAAAGACACCCGUCGGCUGGCUCCCCAGAAUCCACGCCCACUCAACCCCUGCCCAGAUCCCCACUUGGACUGCAGAUUGCUUGCUACCCUUCCGCUAACCAGCCUGUUUCAGAGACGGAAGUGACCACCUGCCCCGGAUCAAGGAACGCAUUCUACUGCACUGCCUGGAGUGGGGGUGUGAGGCUGAGGGUGGGGUCUACGUCAAGAGUGGAUU